rnacentral:rRNA from 1 species
GACGAACGCUGGCGGCGUGGAUUAGGCAUGCAAGUCGAACGGUAUCAUCCUUUCGGGGGUGAGAGAGUGGCGAACUGGUGAGUAACACGUAGGUUAUCUACCCUCAAGACGGGGACAACCCAGGGAAACUUGGGCUAAUACCGGAUGUGAGCAACUUUUAGUUGUUUGAAAGGUGGCGUAAGCUGUCGCUUGGGGAUGAGCCUGCGUCCUAUUAGUUAGUUGGUGAGGUAACGGCUCACCUAGGCAAUGAUAGGUAGGCGGCCUUUAACGGGUGGUCGCCCACACUGGGAUUGAGAUACGGCCCAGACUCCUACGGGAGGCAGGCAGUCGAGAAUAGUCUACAAUGGUCGGAAGACUGAUAGUGCGACGCCGCGUGAACGAUGAAUCCCUUCGGGGUGUAAAGUUCUUUUAUAUGUGAGCAGUGCUUCUUAUAUUAACAGUAUGGGGAGUAGAGAUAUUAGCAUAUGAAUAAGCAACGGCUAACUCCGUGCCAGCAGCCGCGGUAAACU